UUAAGUUAUUAAGGGCGCACGGUGGAUGCCUUGGCACUAGAAGCCGAUGAAGGACGUUACUAACGACGAUAUGCUUUGGGGAGCUGUAAGUAAGCUUUGAUCCAGAGAUUUCCGAAUGGGGAAACCCAGCAUGAGUUAUGUCAUGUUAUCGAUAUGUGAAUACAUAGCAUAUCAGAAGGCACACCCGGAGAACUGAAACAUCUUAGUACCCGGAGGAAGAGAAAGAAAAUUCGAUUCCCUUAGUAGCGGCGAGCGAAACGGGAAGAGCCCAAACCAACAAGCUUGCUUGUUGGGGUUGUAGGACACUCUAUACGGAGUUACAAAGGACGACAUUAGACGAAUCAUCUGGAAAGAUGAAUCAAAGAAGGUAAUAAUCCUGUAGUCGAAAAUGUUGUCUCUCUUGAGUGGAUCCUGAGUACGACGGAGCACGUGAAAUUCCGUCGGAAUCUGGGAGGACCAUCUCCUAAGGCUAAAUACUCUCUAGUGACCGAUAGUGAACCAGUACCGUGAGGGAAAGGUGAAAAGCACCCCGGAAGGGGAGUGAAAUAGAACCUGAAACCGUGUGCCUACAAGUAGUCAGAGCCCGUUAAUGGGUGAUGGCGUGCCUUUUGUAGAAUGAACCGGCGAGUUACGAUUUGAUGCAAGGUUAAGCAGUAAAUGUGGAGCCGUAGCGAAAGCGAGUCUGAAUAGGACGUUUAGUAUUUGGUCGUAGACCCGAAACCAGGUGAUCUACCCUUGGUCAGGUUGAAGUUCAGGUAACACUGAAUGGAGGACCGAACCGACUUACGUUGAAAAGUGAGCGGAUGAACUGAGGGUAGCGGAGAAAUUCCAAUCGAACCUGGAGAUAGCUGGUUCUCUCCGAAAUAGCUUUAGGGCUAGCCUCAAGUGAUGAUUAUUGGAGGUAGAGCACUGUUUGGACGAGGGGCCCCUCUCGGGUUACCGAAUUCAGACAAACUCCGAAUGCCAAUUAAUUUAACUUGGGAGUCAGAACAUGGGUGAUAAGGUCCGUGUUCGAAAGGGAAACAGCCCAGACCACCAGCUAAGGUCCCAAAAUAUAUGUUAAGUGGAAAAGGAUGUGGCGUUGCCCAGACAACUAGGAUGUUGGCUUAGAAGCAGCCAUCAUUUAAAGAGUGCGUAAUAGCUCACUAGUCGAGUGACACUGCGCCGAAAAUGUACCGGGGCUAAACAUAUUACCGAAGCUGUGGAUUGUCCUUUGGACAAUGGUAGGAGAGCGUUCUAAGGGCGUUGAAGCAUGAUCGUAAGGACAUGUGGAGCGCUUAGAAGUGAGAAUGCCGGUGUGAGUAGCGAAAGACGGGUGAGAAUCCCGUCCACCGAUUGACUAAGGUUUCCAGAGGAAGGCUCGUCCGCUCUGGGUUAGUCGGGUCCUAAGCUGAGGCCGACAGGCGUAGGCGAUGGAUAACAGGUUGAUAUUCCUGUACCACCUAUAAUCGUUUUAAUCGAUGGGGGGACGCAGUAGGAUAGGCGAAGCGUGCGAUUGGAUUGCACGUCUAAGCAGUAAGGCUGAGUAUUAGGCAAAUCCGGUACUCAUUAAGGCUGAGCUGUGAUGGGGAGAAGACAUUGUGUCUUCGAGUCGUUGAUUUCACACUGCCGAGAAAAGCCUCUAGAUAGAAAAUAGGUGCCCGUACCGCAAACCGACACAGGUAGUCAAGAUGAGAAUUCUAAGGUGAGCGAGCGAACUCUCGUUAAGGAACUCGGCAAAAUGACCCCGUAACUUCGGGAGAAGGGGUGCUCUUUAGGGUUAACGCCCAGAAGAGCCGCAGUGAAUAGGCCCAAGCGACUGUUUAUCAAAAACACAGGUCUCUGCUAAACCGUAAGGUGAUGUAUAGGGGCUGACGCCUGCCCGGUGCUGGAAGGUUAAGAGGAGUGGUUAGCUUCUGCGAAGCUACGAAUCGAAGCCCCAGUAAACGGCGGCCGUAACUAUAACGGUCCUAAGGUAGCGAAAUUCCUUGUCGGGUAAGUUCCGACCCGCACGAAAGGCGUAACGAUUUGGGCACUGUCUCAACGAGAGACUCGGUGAAAUCAUAGUACCUGUGAAGAUGCAGGUUACCCGCGACAGGACGGAAAGACCCCGUGGAGCUUUACUGUAGCCUGAUAUUGAAAUUCGGCACAGCUUGUACAGGAUAGGUAGGAGCCUUUGAAACGUGAGCGCUAGCUUACGUGGAGGCGCUGGUGGGAUACUACCCUAGCUGUGUUGGCUUUCUAACCCGCACCACUUAUCGUGGUGGGAGACAGUGUCAGGCGGGCAGUUUGACUGGGGCGGUCGCCUCCUAAAAGGUAACGGAGGCGCUCAAAGGUUCCCUCAGAAUGGUUGGAAAUCAUUCAUAGAGUGUAAAGGCAUAAGGGAGCUUGACUGCGAGACCUACAAGUCGAGCAGGGUCGAAAGACGGACUUAGUGAUCCGGUGGUUCCGCAUGGAAGGGCCAUCGCUCAACGGAUAAAAGCUACCCCGGGGAUAACAGGCUUAUCUCCCCCAAGAGUUCACAUCGACGGGGAGGUUUGGCACCUCGAUGUCGGCUCAUCGCAUCCUGGGGCUGUAGUCGGUCCCAAGGGUUGGGCUGUUCGCCCAUUAAAGCGGUACGCGAGCUGGGUUCAGAACGUCGUGAGACAGUUCGGUCCCUAUCCGUCGUGGGCGUAGGAAAUUUGAGAGGAGCUGUCCUUAGUACGAGAGGACCGGGAUGGACAUACCUCUGGUGUACCAGUUGUCGUGCCAACGGCAUAGCUGGGUAGCUAUGUGUGGACGGGAUAAGUGCUGAAAGCAUCUAAGCAUGAAGCCCCCCUCAAGAUGAGAUUUCCCAACUUCGGUUAUAAGAUCCCUCAAAGAUGAUGAGGUUAAUAGGUUCGAGGUGGAAGCAUGGUGACAUGUGGAGCUGACGAAUACUAAUCGAUCGAAGACUUAAUCAA
rnacentral:rRNA from 1 species